rnacentral:misc_RNA from 1 species
UGGUUCUCGCAUNGAUGAAGAACGCAGCGAAAUGCGAUAAGUAAUGUGAAUUGCAGAAUCCAGUGAAUCAUCGAAUCUUUGAACGCACCUUGCGCUCCUUGGCAUUCCGAGGAGCAUGCCUGUUUGAGUGUCAUGUUAAAUAUCAGCCCCAUGGGUUGGAUUUUGGACGCUGCGGGAGCCUCUUCCGCUCGUCUCAAAUGCAUUAGCGGGGUUUCGGGACCCAUUGCUGGCGUUUAGUAAUGCUUGCGCCGCGCGGGGUUGCUCGUCCGCUCACUAGACCCGAUGCCGUCGGCGUCGAACUUGACUUUUCGGCCUCAAAUCAGGUAGGAUUACCCGCUGA